GCAGCCGUGGCCGAGUGGUUAAGGCGAUGGACUAGAUAUACUUUGGGGUCUCCCCGCACAGGUUCGAAUGCUGUCGACUGCG
rnacentral:tRNA from 2 species